GACAGUAGCGUAAACUAUGAUACAUGUCAUCAUACAGUUACCAAUAUUUAUGGCGGAGUGGAGUGGCAGGGACGUGACAACGACUCAAAUAUCCGACGAACAGGUGGCCGGCCGGGCAUUCGGGCUUGAAUUAUAACGCAUUUGAGCCGUAAAGCCGCGGAUAUAUGAGAUCCGCUUAAGUAGCUCGUGUUGCCGGCACUCUGGACACAUGUUCGCCUCACUUUGAGCCCGAUCCGUAUAUGGUGUUUGGCAUUAACGCACAUAAAUAAUAUUUACAGCCAUUUCGUGUUGCACAUGCAACACGUGGCCCUGGCAAUUGAGUUGUUGAUGCUCUUCUUACGGCGCACACAUAGCCUAAAUGGCCACAAGAUUUAGCCACAAAAAUUAUGGUGCCUCGAAGUUGGUAGGGUGAGCCAAUGCCAAUAGAAAUGAAAAUCUAUAGGUAGGGAAUUAAGGUUUCCGGCCUGGAUCAUCAUAAAUAUAAGAAGGAUCAAAGUAAUAUCAUUCAGGCCCACAAUGUAACUAUUUCUGUAGCUAUUUCUUGAUUAUCAGACGAAUACAUUCUUUAAUUCUUAUAUUUGUUAUAUUAUUAUCUAUGUACAAGCUAAGUAUACUGAAGUAGUAUUAUUUCAAGAGAAAGGGUUUUGACAACAAAUCCGACUUAAAAAUCGUGAAUCACCCUAAUCGAAACCGUUCAGGUGGAUAAGUGCCGUCUCGGUUGGGCCUCGCAGUUGGCCCAAAAAUUUGACUUGUGCUUUACCUUUUGCCGUCUCAGUUUCGCCCUUCACCCACGCACCACCGCACCACUGGAGCACUGAGACGCCGCACCACCUUCGGCUCGUUUAUCCAUUCAUAACCAGCGCUUUUGCUUCCUUUUCUCGGCUGCAAGUCGGCGGGGCAUGAGUAAUGUGAGGCGCGUUGCAGCCGCCUUUUGGGGCCCGAUAAAAAGCUUAAAAUACAACUUACAUUCUGACAAGAUAUGAAUUUUAAGCGCGCGUCCCAUUGAUUUAUGUGGCAGUCAAAGGAAGCGUCUGACGGAGAUGGUUUUUUAAAUUGGAUUAUGAGUCUCCGUUUCUCGAGUUAUCCGCCGUCUGCGGAGUUUGCUGCCUGGCUUGCAUGCCAAGUUGGCGAUUAAAAAUGAGUCAAGAUGUCAGCUUAUUGAGCUACUGACUCGUCUAAUUAAUUAGCGACUCGAGCAAAUAACAUUUGGAACGGCAACAAAAGUAAACAAGAUUGGAAAUCAGCAUGGAAAUAGAAAUAGACGGCCAACGGAAGGGAAAGCAAAACAACGGGCAAAUAAACAAACGGGGGGGAAUCCCCCGUCGACGAUUGAUUGCGAUCCGGUGUGGCGCCCCCUAGCGGCCAGCAGCACGGACUGACACACAAAGAGACAUUCGAAAACCGCAGAAUCUAAUUUGGAAAACGUAUGUGAAAUUUGUAGAGCAUGUGCAGUCAUCUGCCGGAGCAGGGGAUCCAUGGCAAACAAAUGCCCCCGGGGGUGUGUGAAACAAUAUUUGAACUACUCGUCGUAGAGUGGGAAUCGGAAUCGGAAUAAGGGGUGGAGGGGGAAAGGUGAAGGCAGCGAGCGGGGGGCAAGCGAAUGCGCAACAAUCAAAAUAUUUUCAUGACAAAUUUAAAACAACAGAGCCAUGAAGUGGAACACGUUGCCAGCAUUUGGUCAGCAGCACAUUUGCCAUAACUGGAAAACAAGUUGUGCACAGUGAACAAUUUUCAAUUAAAACUAGAAAUAAGAAUCAAUGUUAUUAUUUACAGCGCUAGAAAUUACACAAAAUGUUAUUGGAAUAUUGAUAAACAAUAUUAUUCUAUAUAUAUUAGCUUAUUAUGGUUAAUUCCAUAGAUGUACUCAUGCCUGAAAUGUAGGAAGUCCACAUAAGGAAGUGUGUGGCUUCCAAGUAACAAACCCAUGAAAUUAGUAGAGUAUCGAUGUAGAAGAAAUAGUUUUCCGAGUGUGCUGGCCAAUCAAGCGGAAUGGGAAUUGGGAAUGGGCAAAGUCGAGACGGGAAGUGGCCAAGUCAUGACCGCGCAGGGAUGAAUUCUUGAGGAACUUUCGAUCCGUCAAAGUAGAGCCCCCUUCUUUGCAAAAUUGCUAAUACCCGUCGACCGAGGAAGCGACACACGUGUCUACGUUUACAAUUCAUUACGAACGCCUUGAACCUCGAACUUAAGCCCUCUUUCGACUUUCAGAUGACCCAAAGUCAAUUUCAGACAUUCGCCAGUUGACAACCCCAUUGUCUGGAUAACUCAGAAUGCAGAAAGGCAGCUGGCUGCAGAACUGAAAGCCACUUAAUCCCGUCGGCGGAAGAAAGAGCCACUCUUUCUGCGGCGAAAGGACAACGCCAGUCUUCAUCAUUACUCGCGCAUAAAUUAGGAUUAAGGCAUGAAAGCGACGGGUGAAAAGGGGAAUUCAGCGGAAAUCAUAUUCGCAAUUUUGACCUUAUUUGGAUUUGCUUCGCGGGAAUGCCGACUUCACUUCACUUCACUUCAGUUCACUCCACUCCUUAUACGGAUGGUCACUGAGGGACCAACUAAGAAGCAAUUGCCAUCCUCGUUUGCUCGAUCCUAAUUUCACAUCGUUAUAUUCAGCAUAUAUGUAUAUUUGCAAACCCGAGCGAUGUUGAUGGUUCCCCUAUCAUUUUGUGGCCACUAAUGCGACAGAAAACUGGUAAAAAGCUCGCCAGUUAUGCAUUUUUCUGACACAUUCCAUAUUCGCAUUAGUUGCGCUGACAUUUUGUGUCAAAUUAGUGACAUUUAGUGUCACAAAAGUGCGCAAAUUCGCUCAAAAAAAUGGGGGAACUUGUAUAUCAAAAGGAUGUAUUACUAGAGGGGUGACUUUAUGUCAAAAAAAAAAAAAAAAAAAAACUGAUGUGUUUAUACAAAUGAUUAAAGGGGCUUAUUAUGGCAUCUUUAAUUUGUUUAAGGGCUGACUUUCAUGUCAAGCAGAUUUCAUUUAUGCAUUUCCUAAUCUCAUCCUAUGAAUUUGAGCCGUACAAUCGCAACUGAAUUUUUAAACAAUUUUUCUAAUCUUUAAAUGUAUGCCAAAAACCGCAGAGCUGCAGGGAAAUAAAACAUUAUUUUAUCAUUCCAAUCGCUGGAUUUCUUUUUUCUGAGACCGUAGGAAAAUAAACCCGAAACGAAAACAAAACUCGAAAACAUUUUGCGUUGUUCCCUCCCAGUGACAGUUGCAAACAUUUUCGGUGCCUUCUUUUUUCGGCGAUGUUUGUGCUGGGUAUUAUUAUUUUUAUUCUGAUUGUCACAGCGGCGGCAGGGCAACCCAAACUGGUUUUCAUUUUGUUUGUUAUUGUUAUUGCUGUCGGAUGCAUUGUUGUUCCCCUUGUUGUUGUGGUAGUCCUCUGUUAAACAUGUUUGACACGGACUCUCGUGGGAUAAGUCCCCCUAUUCCGUAACCCUCCUGCCGCAUCAUGCGAGUAAAAAUAAGUUUUGGUAGCUGCGGCCCGCAGAAUUCGCUCUCCCCCAAAACGGGGUACAAAAAAAUACAAAAAUAAAGCAUCAACAAUGCUGCAGAAUACCGAGCUUGGGGCGAAACCCAACCCAAUCCAACAGAACCAAACCAAACCAAACGAUCUGGCUGUGACAAGCCGCAUACCAGAAGCAUCCAGCAAAAUGCUGACAGCUUGACAAACCGACGACCAACUGGGAAACUGGGAAAACGGGGCGCAUGUCUGCUGCUCCUUAAUAAUUUAAUUUGUAUAAAUUUACCCAAUAUGUCAAGAGGCCCUCAAUUUGCAGCUGAAACGGGAGUGGACUCCCUAAUUAGCCAGCCAUUCGGAGGAAUGUCAUUCGCUUCAAGAUGGACAUGGGUUUUUCAAAACCAUUUCCCAAUUUAUUUGAAACUGUAAAGUGUCAUUAUCGGUUUGAUCAAAAUCGCAUUUAGUAGCCAUAACUUUAAAUUAAAGUUAUUCAAGCAACUUAUAUAAAUAUUUUAAAUUCACAUUAGUCCCAAAAUCCACCUAGUGAUGAAGCGCAUCUUAGUAUUAUUUUACUAAACAACAAAAAGCAUUUUCCUUUUCCCUAUAGUUUCCAGCAAAAGUGCAACAACCCUGCAGUUUCUCCGAUGGCCUUAGUUAGUCUUUUCCUUGGAAGUGAUUCGAUUUGCCACCCAACAACUGGCUGCCUCAUUUAAAAACUAAUAUUUACACUGAUUUCCUCGGCACUCCGCCUCGCACUCCACUCGCAAUUCCACGAUAUAUUGAUGGCUCCCAUAAUUUGCCUGCUCGCAUUCUGCACUAAAUGUCCCACAAAGUGGUCUUGGUCAUGGCUUCCAGCUGGAGCUCGCGGCUGGGAUUGCGACUCCGAGAUGUGACUUUAAGUGUUAUGGGGAGCGGCGGCCAUUUGGACGACGUCCCAGCGACGGGUUAAGUGCUGGCUAAAUGCUGCCAGUUUCGCAUUUCUUUCAGUCGGCCAUAAAGCGAGAAAACAUGUUAAUUGAACCGGGAUUGAACCAAGUGGAUGCCGCAGAUUGCCAGUGUAAACAAGCGGCGAAAGCAUCGAUGGAGCGUGUCAAAACAUGGAUUAUGCAGGUGGUUACUAAACUGUAUCGAUCUGGCACUCGAAAAAAUAUUUGUUUUAAUGAAACUAAAGUAAAAUAGCUAAAUAAGCAUUAUUUAGGUAAAAACAAAUCCCAAUUUAUAUAAGAUAAUUUCUUUUAUAAUUUCUAAUUAAUUAAAAUUAAAUUUCCUCUAUAAUGCCCACAAAACCAUCAAUUAAACCCUUUUUUUUUGAGUGAAUUAUGUGACAACAACGAGGUUGGCAUUUUCCGCACAAGUGGCUAGCAAAUUGAUACAUUGCCCAGCGACCAACUCCCUCGCAAAAUCCGAUGAGUAACCAUGGGUAUCCGUAUCCACUAAGCCCGAAAAGUCAAAUUGAGUAACCAAAUCCCCGGCAUCGAAAAUCAAGGCGCAACUAAUUUGGCGAAAUGUCAAGUGGUCGGCACUCCGGUUGCAAAGAGCUGAUGGCUGCUGCGAUCCAAUGACAAUGCCACCUACGUAGCACAGUGUACCCACACAUACACACACACACACUCUCUUACACUCGACAACAAAAGUGCCGAACAACAACUGGCAAAUUUGUGAAGUGGCUGUGAAAAAAUUUCACGUAUUUCGACAACGAAAUCUGCUUGUUGUGCGACGAAAAUUGUUCGAGUGCCGUCGUUUCACACAUGCCACCAACUACAACAACAACAAUGGCAGUAGCAACAACAUUUAAAGCAGCUACAACAACAAGGGAAUCAACCAUAUAAAGCAACAAGUGGUUGUUGUUGCGAUACUGGGGUUUUUGGCAACCGAAAUCCUUUUAAGCUUUAAUGGCAUUUCGAUAAGGAAAUUUGCAAGAUAAAUAUUUUGCUGCAUCCAUUUCGCUGGAAAGGUUGGCCUCAAAAAAGAAAAAAAAGCGAAAAACUUUGUCAUCAAGAGGUGAAAUCUGAUCAGCAAACCUGACUCACACAGAUGAGUUUGUUGUUAUUCAAUUUGCCAAAUGAGUCAGAAAAGAAAGUUGUUCAGAACAUACUGGGCUAACUUAGGAGCCAAAAUAAAAGCAAAAUAAAUCUGUAAAGCUAUCUUGUUUCAUUAACCUUUAUCCUUGAAGCAGAUCAAAUAUUUCACAAUUUUCUCACAUUUUAGACUAUCAACCCAUUGUGGAAAAUCUUUAACGUCAAUUUUCCUGUUAACGUACAACUGAAAACCGCGAAUUGCUUUGCUGGUAAGUUGAUUUUCCAUUAUGCGGCUUCAUAAAUAAAGGAGCAGCACAUGCGAAAGGACUCCCAGGACUCGCAACUUUAUGUGAAGGCAUGCCAGUCGAACCUUUCCACACGUACUCUCCUCUGGGCGGAAUGCAGUCGGGUAAACAAUUUUAAUUGCAUUUAAAUACGACAUUUAUUUGCAUGUAAAAUUAACGCGAAAUGCAAAUGACUUCAUGCCACGGUGGGGCGCAUAAAUACCAUCCAGGGAUCCGGAGUUGCAGUUGGGCAAAAAGAGGGCCAAAACAAACAUGAAAGUUGCAGCCCAGACGGAAUUGAAGGCCUUAUGUUUCCCAUUGCGGUUGCGUGGGCAACAUCAACAGCAGCAAGUUCGACAUCAAAUUCAAUGGCCCAAACCGACGAACAACGUUGUGGUUUUUCGCUUAUGUUUUUAGCACCCGCAGGAAAUGUGGCCAAAGUUUUCCUUGCCAACGACGGCUGCAUUUUUAAAGGCCUUUUUGGCUUACGUGACAUUGAAUUGGCCACGUUGUUAGCUGGCUGCGUGGGAAUUUGGAAAUUCGAGCUGACAAAUGGGCAGCCGUUAGCCGCAGGGCCAAAUGCAAUUUAAUAGGCCAUAAAUCAGCGACGAAUGAAGACGUUUCGAGAUGAACAUGCAUCUCGUUGGCCACAGAACUGGGCCAAAGCCAUUUGAAAUUUGAGUGACGGAUGGCAAACAGCAUCGCAUGCCUGGCAGGCCUUAAUUAAUUGAAAAUGCUGCCAAAGUGCCAGAAUGCCACAUUAUUCAUUGUGCCGGGGCAAUUAUCUCCCCGAUAUAUAUGCAUUUACAUAAAUCGGUUGGAGGUGGAGAUGCAUCCACAAACAUUUUGACAGCCGCAACUGACAGUUUGCAGUUUGCUACCCGGCCAUUUUUGAUUUUUGCACAGUUUUAAUUAAAACUUUGGGCCCUCCUGGGAAUCUUCUUGGGAAUGAGGCAGCUGAGGCAGAAAGGCUUCCAGCUGACAAGCCGAUGAUUUGGAACCCAAAAUGCUGACCCUAUUGCCAUCCUGCUGUUUCCCUUCUUUUUCUCGCCGGAAUGAUGCAAUUUUUCAUGCCUUCGCGUUGCAUUUUAUUUCGUGCGCCACGUGACCUGGAAAUUCUGAAUUUGGACCUUUCGAAAGAUCGAAUAUAUGCGAUUUGGUGGCAGGCGCGUGUUCCUAGAUUUAUGGCCAGGCAAAUGGGAUCGAAGUAUGUAAGCCGAUAUUGAUGCCCAAUGGAAGCCCAUGGAUUGGUAAUUGAAUCUUCUCGCAGAGAUGUAAUCGUGAUAUGAUAGGACGAGCACAAAGGAAGGACUUUCUGCCCCUUGAAAACAUAAAAAAAAAUCCCACUGCUACAUAUGUAUUUAUAUCAAUUUUAACAAUACACUUAGUUUUUAAUGAUCUGUUCUUUAUGAAUUCCAUAUCACGCAAAUACGCACAAUUGUUUAAAUAUUAGUUUUUUAACCACAUCAGCGUCAGUUGAGCUCCUUCCAAAUAUAAUUCUUCAGAUAAUCGUAAUUAAAUUCAACGACCCAGACAUUUUUACAAAUUACCUAGCGCCGUGACAGGAAAAUGUCGCCCCACCAGAACCAAUUUUUUCCAAUUAGCGAGGCAAAACAAAAGAAAGUGGAGAAAUAUUUGAAAAUCGCCCAAGUCAUAUACUACGCGAAGCGAAGGAAUAAUUUCACGGAACUGUCCCAUAAAUUCAACUAAUUGAAAAUUUUCACUGGCAGGGAGUUAUUACCCGGCUACUACUUCUUCCCCCGCUCGAACACAUACGCACAUGUCGGGCCUCAUUAAGCAUUUCAUAACAGGAAGGGUCGUUAAAUAUGCUUACCUAGCCCCGAAAUGCUCUGCUAACCGAAAGGUAUACCAAUAGUUCGGGUUUCCUAAAAACCACCCUCGAUUUCCACUGGGAAACUACGUAGUUAGGCGAAGUGUUAAUGGGACACGCUGAGAAUUCCGAGAGGAGAUGGAAGAUCUUCAAAAAUUCAGGGAGCACACAAAGAAGUAUUGAGAACUCAUCAUCAACCCUCGUGAAAUGGAGUAGUGGUUGGGCACCCACUAUCGGCGACGUGUGCAUUUCGGAGCGGGAUGAUGUGCAUCGGUCGUCGCCAGAGAGCGACGCGUGCUGAGGCUUCGUCAUCGACAGAUGUUUACCAAAUUGAUUACGAUAUAUUCCGAACUGUGUACCAUAUAUAUAUAAGCCCCCUGCUAUUGGGAAGCUGAGUGAUCCAUAAAGUGCCCAAUUUCUGGCACGGGGAAUGGCUUAUCCGAUUAUGGAGUUCGCCAGGCCACAGCUCGGACUUCCGGGCGUCUUCCCUGGAAGUCGUUCGCCCGAUUAUGCAGAGGAUUAAUCACUCCGGAGGCUGAAGGAACUGCAUACUGGGUGUUCUGCGUAAACAAAACAAAGUCUAUGCUGGUGCGGUUUGUCUUGGACACAUAAACAAUCCCUCGACGCCAUAAACACCAAGUGACGCCGAGGGUAUUGGCAAAACAUAUGCAAAGUGCAUGGCGAAAUGCAAAAAGAAAAAUGCAAUCAGAAAUACACAACAACUGACGCCGAAUAAAAUGACAAAUGCGUCUAGCCGUGGAAAAGCUGGAAAAUCAAGCGGGGAAAAUGGGGGAAACUUUGUCACAAAAUAAAAAGAGAGCGGAGCGAAGGAGCAGCAUUUCCAAGAUAUCGGAUUAAAGUCGACUGUUCCAGGUUUUUCCUGUGCCACCUCGAGUUUUCCAAGUGUUUUCCGGUUGCUUCCUGCACGUGUGCUCAAGUGAUUCCCCUCGACGUUGCGUUAUUAAAAACGAAUUAUGAAUUAUGUGUGUUUUUCAUAAUUCCACAUUCAUGGA
rnacentral:sRNA from 1 species